CGGAGUGUAGCUCAGCCUGGUAGAGCACUGCGUUCGGGACGCAGGGGUCGCAGGUUCAAAUCCUGCCACUCCGA
rnacentral:tRNA from 2 species